AUUGAACGCUGGCGGCAUGCUUUACACAUGCAAGUCGAACGGUAACAGGCCUUCGGGUGCUGACGAGUGGCGAACGGGUGAGUAAUGCAUCGGAACGUACCCAGAGGUGGGGGAUAACGCAGCGAAAGCUGUGCUAAUACCGCAUGUGAUCUGAGGAUGAAAGCGGGGGACCGAGCAGCAAUGUUUGGCCUCGCGCCUUUGGAGCGGCCGAUGUCGGAUUAGCUAGUUGGUGGGGUAAAGGCCUACCAAGGCGACGAUCCGUAGCUGGUCUGAGAGGACGACCGGCCACACGGGGACUGGGACACGGCCCAGACUCCUACGGGAGGCAGCAGUGGGGAAUUUUGGGCAAUGGGCGGAAGCCUGGUCCAGCAAUGCCGCGUGCGGGAAGAAGGCCUUCGGGUUGGAAACCGCUUUUGGCAGGAACGAAACGGUGUCCGCUAAUACCGGGCGCUAAUGACGGUACCUGCAGAAUAAGCACCGGCUAACUACGUG
rnacentral:rRNA from 1 species